UACGAAGGGGGCUAGCGUUGCUCGGAUUUACUGGGCGUAAAGGGCGCGUAGGCGGACAGUUUAGUCAGAGGUGAAAGCCCAGGGCUCAACCUUGGAAUUGCCUUUGAUACUGGCUGUCUUGAGUACGGGAGAGGUGAGUGGAACUCCGAGUGUAGAGGUGAAAUUCGUAGAUAUUCGGAAGAACACCAGUGGCGAAGGCGGCUCACUGGACCGGCAUUGACGCUGAGGUGCGAAAGCGUGGGGAGCAAACAGG
rnacentral:rRNA from 1 species